ACUGGGGCUCCUGGACUCUGGGGAAACUUCCCUCCUUUUGUAACCCACUCCCAGAGGGAAGUCUGCAUUGCUGAUUUCAGGAAGACGUCUUUAGAACUGUGGCCACCAUCCAACUGAGACUUAACUCAUUUUAAUGAGCAAUUCAGUGCGUGACUUCUCAGAAAAACAUCUCACUAUUUUCAGGGAGUUUACUCCAAAGGAAUUGUAUGUGUUUACAGAGCUGAAGCAAUACCUUAAUCUAAAUAAAUGGACCCAGGUAGGUUUAACUAUACAUCAAGUCAGAGUUAAUAUAUUUCCAACUACGUUUUCAAAUUCUCUAAGCAAUUCUAAGGGUGGCCACUUGUUCAAAGCAAUAAAGUUUAUAUGGAAAACAAACACUCA